GUGCUCGAUUUAGCAGCACAUGUGCUUAAAUUGGCACAAUGACAGAUUAGCAAAGCCCGUACACAAGGAUGAACACAAAUUCGUGAAUUGUUCCAUAUUCUU
ensembl:snRNA U6 U6 spliceosomal RNA